UAUAAUUACGAAGGGAAGAAAAAAAAAAAAGGAAAAAAAAAAAAAACAAAAAAAAAUAAAAAUCGUGAAGACACUUAUUUGUUUAGUAAAGAUGAACAUAAAUAUAUAUCAAAUUUGACAAGAAGAAUUUCUAACAUGAAUAUAUCUAAAGAGAUCAUACAUAAAAGUAGAAAAAAUUGCAAAAAUAACAGUAAAAGUAUGUUAUUAACUAUACCUUAUUGUGAUUAUAUACAAAAUAAAAAGAAAGUAACAACAACACAGACUAACCAAAAUUUUCUGUUUGAAAAAUUUUGUAUUAUCAGUAUAUUUUCAUCAUUAUAUGAAUUGUUAAUUUGUAAUUUCCACAUUUUUGCAUACAAAUCAAACAUGUUCAUUUUGAAUAUGAACAAACGAAAGGAUAUAUAUUAUGUUAAUAGUUCUAUUAAUAAUAAUAGGUUUGGUGAUAAGAGUAAUGUUAAAAGAUGCAAGAGACGUAUUAACAAAAAUAAAUAUGGAAUUCACACUCACACACGCACCCAAAGAUACUACAAACACAAUCCAGUAAACAAAUAUACAUACAUGUUCUAUUACAAAACAAAUAUAUUACUAUCAUGCAUAGAUAAACUUUCUUCUUUUAUAAAUAAGUAUCUUAUUUAUUAUUUAAAAAUACAACUAUAUAAAUCAGCUUAUAACAUUAAAAAUACGUUACUAACAUACUUAUCAUUUCUCUUCUUUUUUAAUAAAACAAAAACUAAAAACAAUUACAUUUUGUGCGAACAUUUUAUUGAUUCAAAUAUAUCAUAUAAUUUUAAUAUUCAACUGUAUUGGAUGUGGAAGUUAACUAAUUGUACAUACAAAUCAUUUUUAUUAUUUUUUAAUAGUAAUUUUUAUAAUUACAUAGGUUUUGUGAAUGAUAAAGUGAUGUUAUGUAACAAUAAUCUAACUGACACUGUAGUAGGUACAGGUAUGGAUGUAAACAAUGGAACAAACAAUAUGUCUUGUAUAACACCACUUAAUUACAAAAUAUAUAAUUUAAAAAAAAGUAAAAAAGAUACUAUCCUCACUCAGACAUUCAACUCAAAUAGUUACAAAUCUGUCAUAAUUAAUGAGAUAUAUAAUUUGGAUAAACAUGGUAUUAUAUAUUCAUAUGGAAAUAAUAACAAAUCUUCAAUUAAAAUUGCUAGUACAACUUCUAAUAUAACCAAACCAAUAUCAUUAUCUGAAUAUGAUAAUCAUAAGAACAAAGAAACGAAUACAGUCGAUGGAGAUAGUACAAGUAACAGCUACAAUAAUAACAGUUGCACUACCAGCAUUAGUUCUACUGAUGAAUCAGGAAAUACGCCUAGUAAUAAACGCUUUUUUAAACUAUAUUCCAAAUUAUAUGAAAAUGGCUUAAGAAUACAUGAUCAAGAAUAUGUUAUAAUUCCAAAUGCAAGAGGAGUAGGAAAAAAUAAAAUAACAUUUAAUCAUACAAAUUUUUUAUUUAAACCUUCUAAAAAUGAUGAAACAUUUUCUUCUUUUGCAUCGAAAAUUAAUAUUUUAAAACGGAUUAAAAGUAAUAUGAAAAAAAAAAAAAAAAAAAAAAACAAUCAUAGUAACAUUGCCAUUACUAAUACUAGACAAAAUAGUACUAAACUGGUUGCAAAUAAUUAUACUCAUAAUUUAAACCAUUAUCAUAGUCACAUUAGAAAUAAUACAUUAGAAAAUAAAAAAGGUAAUACUGUACAUAAGAGAAAAGGUAGUAUCAACAAAAACAAACAGUUAUCACCUCGAAGUGCUAGUACCCAACAAAAGAGUAGUACAUAUGUACCUAGCAAUACCUACGUACCUAGUGAUACUAAUACCAAUACUCACGAUAGUGGAAGCCAUGUUAUACAUAAUAUAAAAAGUAUACGUCUUAAAGAAAGUGCAAAUGAUACUAGUGACAAUACGUUCAUUGUUGAUACUAUAAAAAGUUGUAAAGUUAAAGACUCUCAUGUAAAAGAUAUGAACAUGGAAAAAAUGAAAUCCUAUUUGAACAAUUAUGUUAAUAAUACAAUAAAACAAACAGAAGCUGUGCUUUACACAAAUCCGAUGACUGUUAACACUAUUACAAAAAGAGAUGAUAUUACGAAAGAAAUGAAUAUUUAUGCUAAUUAUAAUAAUAAUACUAGUACUGCUGGAUGUCGUGAUGAUAUAACUAGUUCUGUGAAACAGGUUACAAAACAGAAUGACCAAAAUAUACCUAACAGGAGCUACAGAGUUGACCAUAUACCUAGUAUAGACGAUAGUGUCACAAGUACAGCAGUACACGACAGUUACUUAUUUAAGAAUCGUACUAACGAGAGGGAGAUCGAAAGAGGGGAAAUGAAAAGCCAAAAAAAGAGCAAGACCAAAACCAAUGGCAACAGUAGUGGCAAAAAUAAUGGUAAAAGCAAGACCAAAAGUAAUGGAAAAAACAAGACCAAAAGCAAUGACAAAAGCAAUGACAAAAGCAAUGACAAAAGCAAUGANNNNNNNNNNAAAAGCAAUGACAAAAGCAAUGACAAAAGCAAUGACAAAAGCAAUGAUAAAAGCAAUGAUAAAAGCAAUGAUAAAAGCAAUGAUAAAAGCAAUGAUAAAAGCAAUGAUAAAAGCAAGACCAAAAGCAAUGACAAAAGAAACUUUCACAUGAACAAGCACAACAAAUUGCCAUACGUCUUACCACUAGCAUUAUUAUUCUCAAAUAUAACAGACAGGCACAUAGUCGAACACGGAAAACUGGAUAACGAUAAUAGUACAUUAUUAUAUAUACAUAAAAAAAAUAAAAUAAAAAAAGUCAGUGUUUUGGAACAUUUGAAAAAGUUAAAUGAAAAAUGUAAAUUUAUUAAUUAUAUAUCUUAUAAUAACUUGAGUUAUGAGUAUGGAAAUAAUAUGGGUCACACCUAUGACAUAUAUGGCUACAACAAUCAUGGUCACGGCCAUAAACACAACCAUGACCACAACCACAACUACCAACACAGUCAGAAACAUACGGAUCAUUACCAAAAAGAAGCGGCAGUUGUAUUAAACAGGAUCGGUAAUAAGAUUAGUAACCCAAAUUACAAUAGUAAUAAUAAUUUGAGUGGUGUAAAUAGUAGUAGUAUUUAUGAAAAACAUGUACCACUUUGUAACGAACUAAAAAACAAAACAGGUAUUUAUUUUUUUAGUGACAUGGAUGAAGAAAAUGUUUCUAAUUAUAAUAUAUACAAUGGUACAAAAACAGAAACCACAGCAGUUGGUAAUAUAAAUAACAAAUCGUUUAUUAAAGGAGAUAAUAAGUAUACAAGUGAUCAUAUUGUUGAUAGUAAACAUAUGAUAGAUAAUAAACAUAUGGUGGGUAGUAAACACAUGGUAGGUAGUAAACACAUGGUAGGUAGUAAACACAUGGUAGGUAGUAAACAUAUGGUAGAUAGUAAACAUAUGGUAGAUAGUAAUAUACAUUUAUGUAUACAAUCAAAAGAGAAAAAAAAAAAAAUAAAGAGGAAAAAAAAAAAUAAUAAUUAUAACAGUAGUGAUAAUAGUUGUAAAACAACCACUACUAACAACACCAACACCAGUAUUGAUAAUGAUAAUAAAAAAAAUAAAAAUAGAACCAGAACUUAUAAUACUAACAAUCGUAAAAUAUUUGUAGAUAUAAAUAUGAACAAAUUAUUAUACAUAUAUAAAUGUAUGCAUAUACAAUGUAUGCAUAACUUAACUCCUAUGUGCUCCUUCCUUACAAAUUUUAUCCCAAAUGAUUGUAGUAUUACCAAUUUUUUUGUGAACACAUAUAACAACUAUUUUGUUAGUAAUAUAUUUUUUCACAAUCUUUUUUAUACUUAUGAUAAUACAUUAACCCUACUACUUAAUUCUAACAAUACAAAUUGUGUUUGUUAUGAUGAUAAUUCUGAUUAUUGUCCAACUCGAAAUCAGGAAAGAAAAUAUGAGGACUAUAAAAAGUAUAUUAAAAAAAAUAAAAUCCAACAAAACGUAUAUCCAAAUUACGAACCUUUACAUACUCCUAAAAAUAAACAAACGCUUAACGUAUUAACGAACGAUAACUUAUUUAUUUAUAAAAACAACUUGAAAAAUAAAACAAUCAGUAAAAAUAUAAUUACAGAAAGUAACUAUACCAACUUAAGGGAUGAUACGAUUGCUUUAUUCAAAAAUGAGAACUCUGGCAGUAAUAUAAAUUGUUAUACAAGUUCGGUUGUCUGUACUGACACUAAUAAACAAGAGAAAGAAUUGAAAGAUAAUAAAGAACAAUUCAUGCGGAAAGGUCAUAGUGAUAAUACGAAACCGGUUGACAUUGUGGGAAUUCUUUCGAAAGGACACGAAAAAAAUGAGCAACAUAAAAAAGACGAACAAGACGAGAAAGAUGAGAAAGACGAGAAAGACGAGCAAGACNNNNNNNNNNNNNNNNNNNNNNNNNNNNNNNNNNNNNNNNNNNNNNNNNNNNNNNNNNNNNNNNNNNNNNNNNNNNNNNNNNNNNNNNNNNNNNNNNNNNGACGAACAAGACGAGCAAGACGAACAAGACCAACAAGACCAACAAGAUGAACAAGACGAGCAAGACGAACAAGACGAGCAAGACGAACAAGACCAACAAGACCAACAAGAUGAACAAGACGAGCAAGACGAACAAGACGAGCAAGACGAACAAGACCAACAAGACCAACAAGACCAACAAGACCAACAAGACCAACAAGACGAGCAAGACCAACAAGACCAACAAGAUGAACAAGAGGUGGCGAUGAGGUUAUUAUGUAAAAGUGAUGUUGGUAAGAAGGGCGAACAGACAUAUAGGGGAGACAAAACAAAAAAGAUAACCAAACGCUCCACAUGCAAUAAGAAAAAGCACCAUACUACUACAAACACAUAUACAAAACAAGAAUUAAAAAAAAAUAUAAUAAUAUCAAAGUCGGCAGAGAAAUAUAUGGAAAUGGUUUUAUCAUUGUUAUAUAAAAAUGUAGACUUUGAAAAUAAAAAAAAAAUCAAUUUGAAAGACGAGAAAAAC
rnacentral:lncRNA from 1 species